rnacentral:rRNA from 1 species
GACAGAGGUGGCGAGCGUUGUUCGGAUUUAUUGGGCGUAAAGCGUACGCAGGCGGUUUGGUAAGUCAGAGGUGAAAGUCCACGGCUUAACUGUGGCACUGCCUUUGAUACUGCCUUUCUUGAGUAGAGUAGGGGGAAGCGGAAUUCCGAGUGUAGAGGUGAAAUUCGUAGAUAUUCGGAGGAACACCGGUGGCGAAGGCGGCUUCCUGGACUCUAACUGACGCUCAUGUACGAAAGCGUGGGUAG